UGGAGGAGGAGAAAUGGUUGAAGCACCAGGAGAAUACAGCGGACUUGCCCGCCGAGAGAGGGCGGCCGGCAUAACGCUUAUCUCCACAAGAUUUAAGAUAUGUUGGAUUUAAUCUGUUUUUUAAUCCUGUGUUUUAUAAUAAGCGCUGUGGCCAACCCCCAGUUGUCCAGCAAAGGUUGUUUGUUGUUUUUAUUCAGUCAGGGACGCAAGUUACAGAAAUGUUACUACUUAUGCAGGUACAUGCAGUCUGCCUAGACCAACUCUGCCCACACACUGACUAACUAUCUCCUCACAGUCUGGACAGACCUGGGGGAGAAGGGCAGGAGGAUUUCCCAUGCAUCCUCCCACAGGGAUAAAGUUAACUCCUUACAACACAAAAUACAUCACACUGUAACCUGGAGCUGUGGGCAAGAGCAGACACUAUAAAGUGACAUCCACCUGACAGGGCAGGUGGACAAGAGUGUUCCGCACUGGGACAUCACAAUAGCAGUCAUGUUCUGUGUCCUAUAAGUAUAGUAUAAAUGGCGUGUUAUACACUUUUUUGUUUUCAUUGUAGGCACAGCACAGGAUAAACACCUGAGGGGUAAUGCUGGUGAUACACAUACGAUAGCUGACUAUGUCUCCCGAGUCUCCCUUUACACAUGCACACUUGGAGAGAGGCAAGAUUCCAUUUCCUAACUAUAUUACAAACAGAAAGCCCUGGAAACUCUAUUUAUGGGAUUGUGAUGAGGAAUCUGGACAAAGUGCAUAUGAUGACUACUAGAAAGUAUCCAAGCAACAUAAACCAGUAUUAAAAUAGAAGAAAUGUUCAUUUGUGUUUUUCCCUGUGAACCGAAGAGAUGAAUAAAGUAAUUGCCCUUCAUCUGGACUCAGAUUAAGCUUCUAAACAAUUGUGUUUCGGAAGAACAAAUACAUUUCUGUCAGAGUGGAGCAAGGACAUGCAUUAUCAAGGAAAAAGGAAAAUUCUACUAACAAAAUAGAUAUGUUUUGCAAUAAUAGAAUCAAUGCUGCACAAUCAUAGUGGACCUUGAAAAGGGCCAUUUUUACAGUAACAUAUCUGAAAAAGAUUAAAAAUAGCUUUAAAAUGUAGCUAGCUUUUCUCCAUAUAUUUCAUCAGCACAUGUUGGACUAUUUCAGAUCUACAAAGCACCAACCUCGAGUAAAAUAGACUGAAAGGAUAUGCGCACUGUUACCCUGUUUCCUGAAUGCAAAAUAAAGAAACUUUUAUUACCGUAAAAGUUUCCUGCUAAAAAGGGUAAAAUAAAUCCCUCUGAUGGACCCUCUGCUCUCUCAAUGUUAAAGGGUAGCUCCCACCAUCCUAUUUUUUUUUGCUAGCCCGUCCCCCCCCGCUACGGCACUAGCUCGUUCACCCCCCCGCCCCGCAUACCCUGUUCCCUCAUUACACUUGCAGUUACUGCAGAGUCCGGCAGCAGGCGUGCAGGGACAGCGGCGGCGAUGUGCGGGACGA